rfam:Candidatus Regiella insecticola 5.15 Rin_2504560293.442, whole genome shotgun sequence.
UUGAGCGGGGUGCUGGGAAACUAGCCCGCACCGUUCUUAGAGGGCUGCUCCUCAGUAAUGGGGAGUGGCUACUCGAC